UUUUUUUUAUUUUUAUUUUUUGUGAGACAGAGUCUCGCUCUGUUGCCCAGGCUGGAGUGCAGUGGCACAAACUCUGCUGGCUGCAAGCUCCACCUCCCAGGUUCACGCCAUUCUCCUGCCUCAGACUCCGGAGUAGCUGGACUACAGACGCCCGCCACCAUGCCUGGCUAAUUUUGUUUUCUGUAUUUUUAGUAGAGAUGGGGUUUCACCGUGUUAGCCAGGAUGUUCUUGAUCUCCUGACCUUGUGAUCUGCCCAUCUUGGCUUCCCAAAGUGCUGGGAUUACAGGUGUGAGCCACCAGGCCCAGCCUGUUUUUUUAAAAAAAUAGAAAUAGGGCCUCACUAUGUUUCUCAGGCAGGUAUCAAAUUCUUGGUUUCAAGCCGUCCUUCUGAUUUGGCCUCCCCAAGUGGGACGGAUUAGAAGAAUGAGCCACCUCGCCCACCUCAUUUUUGUUGUUGUUGUUGUUAUUUUGUUUUUGAGACAGGGUGUCUCUCUGUCACCCAAGCUGGAAUGCAGUGGCACCAUCACAGCUCACUGCGGCCUCAAACUCCUGGGCUCAAGCGAUCCUCCCACCUCAGCCUCCCAAGUAGCUUGGACUACAGGCAUGCACACAACACACUUCAUUUUUUAAAAUCUUUUUUUUUGUAAAGAUGGGGUCUCCCUUUGUUGCCCAGUCUGUAUUUUUCAUAGAGCCGGGGUUUCGCGAUGGUGGCCAGCCUGGUCUGGAACUCCUGAGCUCAAGUGAUCCUUUUGCCGCAGCCUCCCAAAGUGCUGGGAUUACAGGCGCAAGCCACUGUGCCUGGCCAGUAAUUUAAAUAAACACUAACAGAUGCACAGAGCUGUAGAAAUGGCAUUGCUAAACAAAAUGUUGUGAAUAAUCAAGUUAAACUCCCUAAUUUUACAGAUGAGGAAAGUCAGUCUUAAAAAUUAGACAAGCCGGGCCUGGCGGCUCAGUCCUGUAAUCCCAGCACUUUGGGAGGCGGAGGCGGGUGGAUCACCUGAGGUCAGGAAUUUGAGAGGAGCCUGACCAACAUGGAGAAAUCCCGUCUCUACUAAAAAUACAAAUUAACCGGGCGUGGUGGUGCAUGCCUGUAAUCCCAGCUACUCAGGAGGCUGAGGCAGGAGAAUCACUUCAACCCAGGAGGCAAAGAUUGCAGUGAGCCGAGAUCGUGCCAUUGCCCUCCAGCCAGGGCAUCAAGAGUGAAACUCUAUCUCAAACAAACAAACAAACAAACAAACUUAAACAGGCUUUUUCAUGGUCACACAGCUAGUUACUUUGAGAAUCAGGAAUGGAUCAUAGAUUCCCUGACUACUCUUGUUGCUCAGUUUUUUUUUUGUUUUUUUUGUUUUUUUUUUUUGA
ensembl:lncRNA